rnacentral:misc_RNA from 1 species
AAGUCGUAACAAGGUUUCCGUAGGUGAACCUGCGGAAGGAUCAUCAAUGAAUUUUUUAGCCAAAACCAAAAAAACUUGGGCAAAAUUAUUAUUUGCCUUUGGCCAAAAAAAACAAACUUUCAGGUUAAAGUAUUUAAAAAGUAGCUUUACCUGAAUUUUACCUAAAAUAAAAAUUACUUUUUAACACAAAAAACAACUUUCGGCAACGGAUCUCUCGGCUCUCCCAUCG